UGCAAAGCAGAGUAUUUGGUAUUCUCACUGGUUUCAUCAUUCAGUUUUUGUUGGUUCGAAACCUUCCUUUGCAU
rnacentral:tRNA from 1 species